UACGGAGGGUGCAAGCGUUAUCCGGAUUCACUGGGUUUAAAGGGUGCGUAGGCGGGCAGGUAAGUCCGUGGUGAAAUCUCUGAGCUUAACUCAGAAACUGCCAUGGAUACUAUUUGUCUUGAAUGUUGUGGAGGUGAGCGGAAUAUGUCAUGUAGCGGUGAAAUGCUUAGAUAUGACAUAGAACACCAAUUGCGAAGGCAGCUCACUACACAAAUAUUGACGCUGAGGCACGAAAGCGUGGGG
rnacentral:rRNA from 1 species